AGAUGGGAGAAACAAAGCUAAUGGUGGAUGCCUUGGCAGUUUGAGCCGAAGAAGGACGCGUGAAUGAGCGCGAAAACAACGGUGAGCCCUCUAUCAGGCAUUAUCAACCGUUGAUUUCCGAAUGGAGUAAUCCCACCCUGCGCAAGCAGGGUGAUCGGGUACCGUCUGGUACCUGAAGGUAACCUGGUGAACUGAAACAUCUAAUUAACCAGAGGAAAAGAAAACAAUUUAUUUCUUCGAGCAAUCGAAGGAUGUGAUUUCGUCAGUAGCGGCGAGCGAAAGCGAAAUAGCCUAAACCCCGCCUUUGGCGGGGGGUUGUGGGACCACAGUAGGGAGUGAGUUUUGAUAGCAGAAUGUUUUGGAAAAGACAGCUAAAGAGAGUGAAAGCCUCGUAUGCUAAAUCGAAACUUACCCUGGUGGAUAUCCCAAGUACCACGAGCCACGGAAAAUCUUGUGGGAAGCUGGGUCGGUCACGAUCCAAGGCUAAAUACUCAAACUGACCGAUAGUGAACAAGUACCGUGAGGGAAAGGUGAAAAGUCCCCCGAAAGGGGAGUGAAAUAGAACCUGAAAUCAUUAGCUAACAAACAGCAAGAGCAUCUCGUUUUCACUCGAUGCUCAAACUCAAAAGUUAAAACUCAAACCUCAAAACUAAAAUUGUAUUAAUACAAUCUAAAUUUUUGACAUUUGACAUUUGAGAUUUGACAUUGAACACCGAGCGAAGGCGAGGUGUGAUUGCGUGCCUAUUGAAGAAUGAGCCAGCGAGUGGCCUCACCUUUCGUCAACUUAACCAGUUCUACUGGGUAGGUAUAGCGAAAGCAAGUCCUAAUAGGGCGAUUUAGAAAGGUGAGACCGACCCGAAACUGGGUGAGCUAACCAUGAACAGGGUGAAUCCCGAUCACAAUCGGGAGGAGGCCCGUACCCGUUGUCGGUGAAAUGACAUGGGACGAUUUGUGGUUAGGGGUAAUAUGCCUAUCGAACCCAGAGAUAGCUGGUUCUCCCCGAAAUAUAUUUAGGUAUAGCGGCGUAAAAAAUUUUACAGGGAUAGAGCGACUAGAUGGUUGUGAGAGCGUAAGCGAUUACGAUCAACUAAACUCCGAAUACUGUAAAAAAUUUAGACGCCAGUCAGUCUCGCCGGGAUAAGCCGGUGCAGGCGAAAGGGAAACAUCCCAGAUUCCCGUCUAAGGUUCCUAAAUGACUUUUAAGUGGAAAAGGCCGUUGGAUGUCCAACACAGUUGGGAGGUUGGCUCAGAAGCAGCCAUCCUUUAAAGAGUGCGUAACAGCUCACCUAAAUAGCCCUCCGAUUCGGAGGGAGGAUGUCCGGCGCCAAAAAUGAUCGGAGCUAAAAGUCUGCCGAAGACGGAAACUUGUGCUAAGCACAAGAAAUUCCAAUUAUCAAUUCACAAGAAACAAAUAAAUUUCAAAUUAUAAAUUCAAAAAUUAAAUAUUUUUUAAUUUGAGAAUUGAAUAUUGAAUAUUUUUGGAAUACUUGGAAUUUGUAAUUUGGAGCUUCUCGUGCUUUGCACGAGUGGUAGGGGAGCAUCCCGACAACAGCGAAGGUAAAUUGUAAGAUUUGCUGGAGUUGUCGGGAGUGAGAAUGCUGGCAUAAGUAGUGGAUCUCCCGAUGAAAACUCGGGAUGCCGAAAACCCAAGGUUUCCUCAGCAAUGUCAAUCAUCUGAGGGUAAGUCGGAUCUAAGGGAGUACCUUAUGGUACUACCGAUGUACAAACAGUUAAAAUUCUGUUACUUCAAUAUUUUCGUUAUUACUUAAAUUCUGACGAAAUUUGAUAUCUUGCCCCUCCUAUAUGGGGGGUUAAGCUGCAAAUAAUGCUGUUAAAGGUAUUGCAAGCAGUGAAUACAACUCUGACGUAACGUCGGGGGAGGCUUGAGAUUUAAGUUUCCAAGAAAAGGAUUUUAAGGAGAAAGUGUUGAAUCCGUACCGACAACCGACACAGGUGGGUUGGUGGAGUACACCAAGGCAUACGGGUAAUGAUGAUUCAAGGAACUCGGCAAAAAAGCUGGACGUAACUUAGGAAUAUGUCCUCCCCGACUUAGUCGGGGUACAACAAACGUUUGUCAACCGACUGUUUAGCAAAAACACAGGCUCCUGCUAACCCUAAAAGGGGAUGUAUAGG
rfam:Candidatus Roizmanbacteria bacterium RIFCSPHIGHO2_02_FTLL_38_11 rifcsphigho2_02_scaffold_856, whole genome shotgun sequence.